GAUGAACGCUGGCGGCGUGCCUAAUACAUGCAAGUCGAGCGAACAGACGAGGAGCUUUCUCCUCUGACGUUAGCGGCGGACGGGUGAGUAACACGUGGAUAACCUACCUCUAAGACUGGGAUAACUUCGGGAAACCGGAGCUAAUACCGGAUAAUAUAUUGAACGGCAGGGUUCAAUAGUGAAAGACGGUUUUGCUGUCACUUAUAGCUGAUUCCGCGUCGCAUUAGCUAGUUGGUAAGGUAACGGCUUACCAAGGCAACGAUGCGUAGCCGACCUGAGAGGGUGAUCGGCCACACUGGAACUGAGACACGGUCCAGACUCCUACGGGAGGCAGCAGUAGGGAAUCUUCCGCAAUGGGCGAAAGCUUGACGGAGCAACGCCGCGUGAGUGAUGAAGGUCUUCGGAUCGUAAAACUCUGUUAUUAGGGAAGAACAAAUGUGUAAGUAACUAUGCACGUCUUGACGGUACCUAAUCAGAAAGCCACGGCUAACUACGUG
rnacentral:rRNA from 1 species